GCGGACAGAAGGGAGCUUGCUCCCGGAUGUUAGCGGCGGACGGGUGAGUAACACGUGGGUAACCUGCCUGUAAGACUGGGAUAACUCCGGGAAACCGGAGCUAAUACCGGAUAGUUCCUUGAACCGCAUGGUUCAAGGAUGAAAGACGGUUUCGGCUGUCACUUACAGAUGGACCCGCGGCGCAUUAGCUAGUUGGUGGGGUAAUGGCUCACCAAGGCGACGAUGCGUAGCCGACCUGAGAGGGUGAUCGGCCACACUGGGACUGAGACACGGCCCAGACUCCUACGGGAGGCAGCAGUAGGGAAUCUUCCGCAAUGGACGAAAGUCUGACGGAGCAACGCCGCGUGAGUGAUGAAGGUUUUCGGAUCGUAAAGCUCUGUUGUUAGGGAAGAACAAGUGCGAGAGUAACUGCUCGCACCUUGACGGUACCUAACCAGAAAGCCACGGCUAACUACGUGCCAGCAGCCGCGGUAAUACGUAGGUGGCAAGCGUUGUCCGGAAUUAUUGGGCGUAAAGGGCUCGCAGGCGGUUUCUUAAGUCUGAUGUGAAAGCCCCCGGCUCAACCGGGGAGGGUCAUUGGAAACUGGGAAACUUGAGUGCAGAAGAGGAGAGUGGAAUUCCACGUGUAGCGGUGAAAUGCGUAGAGAUGUGGAGGAACACCAGUGGCGAAGGCGACUCUCUGGUCUGUAACUGACGCUGAGGAGCGAAAGCGUGGGGAGCGAACAGGAUUAGAUACCCUGGUAGUCCACGCCGUAAACGAUGAGUGCUAAGUGUUAGGGGGUUUCCGCCCCUUAGUGCUG
rnacentral:rRNA from 1 species